UGGCUCCUGGGAGGACGUGAGCAGCGCGAGCUCUCCAGACACGCAGCUCGCACGCCUUAAAAUGCGUUCGCGUCUUAUUGAGACGUUUUCUGUCGCCGAGCCGCCGUGAACAGGUAACUUCACACCUCCCGAGGAGCGAACGAGACUUCAUCAUGCGCUCGAAAAGUGUAGAAGCCGGUCACAUGUGGAGGGGUGAGCUAGCUGUGAGCUAGGCUAACACGUGGAGGAAGACCACUGCUGGGCCAGAGCCGCUGCGGCAUCGUCCAACAUGGCGGAGCUUAACACAAUGACGGGUCCGGCCGUCGUCCCGGCUUGACUGCGCGUGAGGCAGCCGUUGAGAAGGAUUUAACGAGAUGAUGCGCAUGAUGUACCAGAGGACACCUGGGUACAGAGACUGGGAGAUCAGGUCAAGGCGUUGUCUGGUCCCCCACCCCACAGGAGUCCUGUGUUAAGGAUGUAACGAGCUGCUGCGCAUGAUGUCCCAGAGGACACCUGGGUACAGAGACCAGUUGAUCAGGUCUGCCCCCCCCCUCGAGGAGUCCUGUUGAUGAGGAUGUAACGAGCUGCUACCAGAGGUCGUAGGUCAGGACACCUGGGCUGACCAGUUCAUCAGAUGCAGAGGUGGACUGAUCUGACUCCACUGUAAUCUGGAGUAGAUUUGUUUAAACUGUCUUUAAUACAAUGUUGAACUGUUGUAAAGAAGAGAGAAGACCGUUUAACUAAAACAUGUUUAUUUAAAAUGUAAAACACAAAUUUGCAGCGUUCAAUGACUGAAAUGUAUUCCUAAAUAAAUAUCAUGGCAAGUAAA